rnacentral:rRNA from 1 species
AUGGCUCAGAUUAAACGCUGGCGGCAUGCCUUACACAUGCAAGUCGAACGGCAGCACGGGGGCAACCCUGGUGGCGAGUGGCGAACGGGUGAGUAAAGCAUCGGAACGUGCCUGGAGUGGGGGAUAACGUAGCGAAAGUUACGCUAAUACCGCAUAUUCUGUGAGCAGGAAAGCAGGGGAUCGCAAGACCUUGCGCUCUGGGAGCGGCCGAUGUCGGAUUAGCUAGUUGGUGGGGUAAAGGCCUACCAAGGCGACGAUCUGUAGCGGGUCUGAGAGGAUGAUCCGCCACACUGGGACUGAGACACGGCCCAGACUCCUACGGGAGGCAGCAGUGGGGAAUUUUGGACAAUGGGCGAAAGCCUGAUCCAGCCAUGCCGCGUGAGUGAAGAAGGCCUUCGGGUUGUAAAGCUCUUUCGGUGGGGAAGAAAUUGCAUAGGCUAAUACCCUAUGUAGAUGACGGUACCUGGAGAAGAAGCACCGGCUAACUACGUG